GAGAGCUCUGCAACGACGGGUCCUCGGCUAGGGUUUCGAACUUCAUGUAGGGGUCAAUUGAUUCACGACGCAGAGGAGAUCAUACAACCUCCUCCACACAGUCUUUCUCAGGUUGCUUUUGUGUCGUUAUGGAUGGUGAUCUAGAUGGUGUUGCAUUAAAUUUGGGUGAUCCAGAUGGGCCUUCAAGCGUUGUUGUUGUGGCUAGGGACAAGUCUUUUAAAGCGGUCCUCAUUAAUUCCUCUACAUUUUUCAGUUUUUUUAUUCUGUGAAGUUUGAGGCUAGGGUUUCUUUGAUUCUGGAAGGUAAUGAUGGCGAUGCAGGAAGAGGAGAUUGGUGAAGACAAGAGCAGUCCGGUUGUAGCAAUUUGGUGUGGUCACAUGAGGAAUCAUAAUGAAGAAAGGAUAUAUGUGUUGGAAAGGUCUCUAAAUUCUCUUUCCAUUUCUUUUUUUCUGACUUAAUUUGGUUAAGAAUUAAAGAAUUUGUGAUUAUUUUGGUGAAAACAAUUUUUAAAGGAUGAAACCCUGAACUAGGGUAUUCCAUGGCAAUAAAGAAUUUGUUCCCUCAUGUUAUGGUGAAUCUUAUGAUCUCAAAUAUUGAAUGAAGGUCUGUAGGGAUGUAAUAUAACCUUUGAAAUUGGUUUGGAGUUGAGAAGAGUGGUUGAUCUUUUUAUAUGCCUCUUGAU